GUCGAACGGUGAAGCCCUUCGGGGUGGAUCAGUGGCGAACGGGUGAGUAACACGUGGGCAAUCUGCCCUGCACUCUGGGACAAGCCUUGGAAACGAGGUCUAAUACCGGAUAUUAUCCCUGGGGGCAUCCCUGGGGGUGGAAAGCUCCGGCGGUGCAGGAUGAGCCCGCGGCCUAUCAGCUUGUUGGUGGGGUGAUGGCCUACCAAGGCGACGACGGGUAGCCGGCCUGAGAGGGCGACCGGCCACACUGGGACUGAGACACGGCCCAGACUCCUACGGGAGGCAGCAGUGGGGAAUAUUGCACAAUGGGCGAAAGCCUGAUGCAGCGACGCCGCGUGAGGGAUGAAGGCCUUCGGGUUGUAAACCUCUUUCAGCAGGGAAGAAGCGCAAGUGACGGUACCUGCAGAAGAAGCACCGGCUAACUACGUGCCAGCAGCCGCGGUAAUACGUAGGGUGCGAGCGUUGUCCGGAAUUAUUGGGCGUAAAGAGCUCGUAGGCGGCUUGUCACGUCGGAUGUGAAAGCCCGGGGCUUAACCCCGGGUCUGCAUUCGAUACGGGCAGGCUAGAGUGUGGUAGGGGAGAUCGGAAUUCCUGGUGUAGCGGUGAAAUGCGCAGAUAUCAGGAGGAACACCGGUGGCGAAGGCGGAUCUCUGGGCCAUUACUGACGCUGAGGAGCGAAAGCGUGGGGAGCGAACAGGAUUAGAUACCCUGGUAGUCCACGCCGUAAACGUUGGGCACUAGGUGUGGGCGACAUUCCACGUCGUCCGCGCCGCAGCU
rnacentral:rRNA from 1 species